CAUGCAAGUCGAACGGCAGCACGGACUUCGGUCUGGUGGCGAGUGGCGAACGGGUGAGUAAUAUAUCGGAACGUAUCCAAUAAUAGGGGAUAACUAAUCGAAAGGUUGGCUAAUACCGCAUACGCCCUACGGGGGAAAGCUAGGGACCUUCGGGCCUGGCGUUAAUGGAGCGGCCGAUAUCUGAUUAGCUAGUUGGUGGGGUAAAGGCCCACCAAGGCGACGAUCAGUAGCUGGUCUGAGAGGACGACCAGCCACACUGGAACUGAGACACGGUCCAGACUCCUACGGGAGGCAGCAGUGGGGAAUUUUGGACAAUGGGCGAAAGCCUGAUCCAGCCAUUCCGCGUGAGUGAAGAAGGCCUUCGGGUUGUAAAGCUCUUUCGCAAGGGAAGAAAGAUUACUCUCUAACAUAGAGUGAUUAUGACGGUACCUUGAUAAGAAGCACCGGCUAACUACGUGCCAGCAGCCGCGGUAAUACGUAGGGUGCGAGCGUUAAUCGGAAUUACUGGGCGUAAAGCGUGCGCAGGCGGUUUUGUAAGUCAGAUGUGAAAUCCCCGAGCUCAACUUGGGAACUGCGUUUGAAACUACAAGACUAGAAUAUGUCAGAGGGGGGUAGAAUUCCACGUGUAGCAGUGAAAUGCGUAGAGAUGUGGAGGAAUACCAAUGGCGAAGGCAGCCCCCUGGGAUAAUAUUGACGCUCAUGCACGAAAGCGUGGGGAGCAAACAGGAUUAGAUACCCUGGUAGUCCACGCCCUAAACGAUGUCUACUAGUUGUUGGUGGAGUAAAAUCCAUGAGUAACGCAGCUAACGCGUGAGGUAGACCGCCUGGGGAGUACGAUCGCAAGAUUAAACUCAAGGAAUUGACGGGACCCGCACAGCGUGAUGAUGUGUUUAAUCGAUGCAACGCGAAAACCUUACCCACUUUGACAUGU
rnacentral:rRNA from 1 species